AGCAGUCAAGAAUAUUAGUCAAUGCUCGCAAGAGUGAACUAGCUAACUGAAAUCAAGGGUGUGUCACCUUUGAUAAGGUAAGGGAAAAUAAAUGAUACUACCUUACUAUUAGUGUCGUCCAAGUACUCGUGCCAGAAGACUCGGUAAGGCGAGAGACGCAAACGUUAGUCGUCUUGAUCAGGCGUAAAGGGUUUGUAGGCGGCUUUAAGAAUGGAUUUCUUCUAAAUAACACUUUUAAAAAAGAACAAAGAAGAAAAAAAUCAAUUAAAGCUAGAAUCAAAAAGAGGUCAAAUUAAAUAAUACUUGGUGUAAGAUUGGUAUCUUUAAAAACCAAGCGGAAUACUAACGGCGAAGGCUUUUUUCCAAUAAUGAUUGACGCUGAGAAACUAAGGUGAGGACAGAAAAAAGGAUUAGAGACCCUCGUAUUCCUCACUGUCAACGAUGAAUGGUAGUUACUAGAAAGAAAUAUAAAAUAAAUAUUUAAAUAAUUCUAGAGACGAUGUUAACACGUAAACCAUUCCGCCUUGUGAGUACGACUGCAAAGUUGAAAACAAAAAAAUUAGUCGGUUUCGGAGCAAACGAAGUGAAGCAUGUUAUUUAAUUCGAUAAUC
rnacentral:rRNA from 1 species